rnacentral:rRNA from 1 species
GACGGGGGCCCGCACAAGCGGUGGAGCAUGUGGUUUAAUUCGAUGCAACGCGAAGAACCUUACCUGGGCUUGACAUCCCGGGAAUCCCUUGGAAACAAGGGAGUGCCCUUCGGGGAACCUGGAGACAGGUGCUGCAUGGCUGUCGUCAGCUCGUGUCGUGAGAUGUUGGGUUAAGUCCCGCAACGAGCGCAACCCUUGUCAUUAAUUGCCAUCAUUCAGUUGGGCACUUUAAUGAGACUGCCGGUGACAAACCGGAGGAAGGUGGGGAUGACGUCAAGUCCUCAUGGCCCUUAUGGGUAGGGCUUCACACGUAAUACAAUGGUCGGUACAGAGGGUUGCCAACCCGCGAGGGGGAGCCAAUCCCACAAAGCCGGUCGUAGUCCGGAUCGCAGUCUGCAACUCGACUGCGUGAAGUCGGAAUCGCUAGUAAUCGCGGAUCAGCAUGUCGCGGUGAAUACGUUCCCGGGUCUU